GACGAACGCUGGCGGCGUGCUUAACACAUGCAAGUCGAACGGGGUGGAUUAGCAAUAAUCCAUCUAGUGGCGGACGGGUGAGUAACGCGUGAGGAACCUGCCUUCAAGAGGGGGAUAACAUCGAGAAAUCGAUGCUAAUACCGCAUAAGACCACAUUGCCGCAUGGCAAAGGGGUCAAAGCUAUCGCGCUUGAAGAUGGACUCGCGUCCCAUUAGCUAGUAGGCGGGGUAAUGGCCCACCUAGGCAACGAUGGGUAGCCGAGCUGAGAGGCUGAUCGGCCACACUGGGACUGAGACACGGCCCAGACUCCUACGGGUGGCAG
rnacentral:rRNA from 1 species